UCCUUAGAAACCAUCUAGUCUGCUUUUUCC
rnacentral:piRNA from 1 species